rnacentral:rRNA from 1 species
CCUACGGGAGGCUGCAGUGGGGGAUCUUCCACAAUGGGGGAAACCCUGAUGCAGCGACGCCGCGUGUGGGAAGACGGUCCUCUGGAUUGUAAACCACUGUCCCCAGGGACGAAGAUGAUGUUACCUGGGGAGGCCGCUUCGGCUAACCACGUGCCAGCAGCCGCGGUAAUCCGUAGGGGACGAGCGUUGUCCGGAAUUACUGGGUGAACAGGUAGCGUAGGCGGGGAUGCAAGUUGGGUGUCAAAACUACCGGCUCAACUGGUAGUCGCACUCAAAACUGCACCUCUUGAGUGAAGUAGAGGCAGGCGGAAUUCCUAGUGUAGCGGUGAAAUGCGUAGAUAUUAGGAGGAACACCAGUGGCGAAGGCGGCCUGCUGGGCUGUUACUGACGCUGAGGCGCGAAAGUGUGGGGAGCAAACAGGAUUAGAUACCCGUGUAGUC